AAGUCGUAACAAGGUUUCCGUAGGUGAACCUGCGGAAGGAUCAUUAACAAUCCUAACCGAUUCUUUGUUCCGGUUCGCCGGUCAGAGUCUUAAACCCUUUGUGAAAACAAAAAUCUUUUGCUUCGGCAGCCGGUCGGGCCUUCCUAACCGAUUCUCGACCGUCAGCCUGCCGGCGGCUCCAACCAAACUUGUUAUUUCUGUACAGUCUGAAAAACAUUUUUUGAAUGAAAUCAAAACUUUCAACAACGGAUCUCUUGGUUCUC
rnacentral:misc_RNA from 1 species